CCUACGGGAGGCAGCAGUGGGGAAUAUUGCGCAAUGGGCGAAAGCCUGACGCAGCGACGCCGCGUGAGGGAUGAAGGUCUUCGGAUCGUAAACCUCUGUCAGCAGGGAAGAACGGUCACUGUGCUAAUCAGCAGUGAAUUGACGGUACCUGCAAAGGAAGCACCGGCUAACUCCGUGCCAGCAGCCGCGGUAAUACGGAGGGUGCGAGCGUUAAUCGGAAUUACUGGGCGUAAAGCGGUCGUAGGCGGUAUGUCAAGUCAAGGGUGAAAUCCCCGCGCUCAACGUGGGAACUGCCUUUGAAACUGGCAGACUGGAGUGUGUGAGAGGAUAGUGGAAUUCGAGGUGUAGGAGUGAAAUCCGUAGAUAUCUGGAGGAACAUCAGUGGCGAAGGCGACUAUCUGGCACAUAACUGACGCUGAGGAGCGAAAGCGUGGGUAGCAAACAGGAUUAGAUACCCGAAUAGUC
rnacentral:rRNA from 1 species